UACGUAGGGGGCAAGCGUUGUCCGGAAUCAUUGGGCGUAAAGAGCGUGUAGGCGGCCAGGUAGGUCGGUUGUGAAAACUGGAGGCUCAACCUUCAGAGGUCGACCGAAACCAUCUGGCUAGAGUCCGGGAGAGGAGAGUGGAAUUCCUGGUGUGAGCGGUGAAAUGCGCAGAUAUCAGGAAGAACACCCGUGGCGAAAGCGGCUCUCUGGAACGGUACUGACGCUGAGACGCGAAAGCGUGGGGAGCGAACAGG
rnacentral:rRNA from 1 species